CAAAACAUAAACUUGAUUGAGCACGGCAGCACGGCGACUUUACAAUUCCUAGGUGUUGUAAGCUGACUUAUUUUAAAAGUGUGAUUUUAUAUUUACAGGCUCUUGUUUACCUGACUUCGCAAUGUCGGAAGGAAACGAGCCAAAGAAGAAAUCUUUUGAGGAAUCAAGGGCUGAAUGUAGCUCCACUAUGAGGACCUCAAAUAUUGAUGCAGAUCUGGAUCAUAUUAAUCUUUCGCCGAUGAUACGCCACCUUGUGGAAAACAUGACUGAAGAAGUGACCUUCCAGAUUUCAAGAGUGCAGAACAUUUAGAGCAAGCCGCUCUGAUUCAUAAGAUCCUUGGUGCUUUGUUUAAUGAAGUGCAAAUGAUUGACAUCAAAAUGGACAAGGAUAGGCCACAAAGCCAUCACCCUUCUCAGCUGACUCAAAAGGAAAUGACCAAAACAGACUCUGUGACACUCCUGUUCCCCCUGAUGUGCCUAUCAAAGGGAUUUCCCCUGUUCUCGUGUGUCCCAGUGCUGGAAUGAAGGACUCGUCAUUGUUCACAUGAAACCAUCACUCAGGUGGUAGACACCAUCUUCGAAUGGGAGAAACGUGUUCCCAUCACUAGAAGACUGGAGGAAUUAAUCUCAGAUACCAAAAUUAUGGAAUAUUCUCAUAAUAUUGCAGGUGAAGUACAGAAGUUCCUAAAAAGUUAUCAUGGCGUCCAGACUAUAUCUGUGCCAGUGGGGAAGAAUCUCUCAGACUCCAUUGUGUACAAGUUGCAACCCAGAGCCGUAGGAAAAAAUGAAAUUCUAUCAGGAUUCAUUUACGGUUACGUAGAGGAGGCUGUGAAGCGACUUGUCCUUUCGU